rnacentral:rRNA from 1 species
GACGAACGCUGGCGGCGUGCUUAACACAUGCAAGUCGAACGAGUGGCGAACGGGUGAGUAAUGCUUGGGAAUCUAGCUUAUGGAGGGGGAUAACUACGGGAAACUGUAGCUAAUACCGCGUACCAUAGGAUGAGCCCAAGUGGGAUUAGGUAGUUGGUGAGGUAAAGGCUCACCAAGCCGACGAUCUCUAGCUGGUCUGAGAGGAUGACCAGCCACACUGGGACUGAGACACGGCCCAGACUCCUACGGGAGGCAGCAGUGGGGAAUAUUGCGCAAUGGGGGCAACCUGACGCAGCCAUGCCGCGUGAAUGAAGAAGGCCUUCGGGUUGUAAAGUUCUUUCGGUAGCGAGGCGUUAACUACAGAAGAAGCACCGGCUAACUCCGUGCCAGCAGCCGCGGUAAUUC